UGGUGGGUAGUUUGACUGGGGCGGUCUCCUCCUAAAGAGUAACGGAGGAGCACGAAGGUUGGCUAAUCCUGGUCGGACAUCAGGAGGUUAGUGCAAUGGCAUAAGCCAGCUUGACUGCGAGCGUGACGGCGCGAGCAGGUGCGAAAGCAGGUCAUAGUGAUCCGGUGGUUCUGAAUGGAAGGGCCAUCGCUCAACGGAUAAAAGGUACUCCGGGGAUAACAGGCUGAUACCGCCCAAGAGUUCAUAUCGACGGCGGUGUUUGGCACCUCGAUGUCGGCUCAUCACAUCCUGGGGCUGAAGUAGGUCCCAAGGGUAUGGCUGUUCGCCAUUUAAAGUGGUACGCGAGCUGGGUUUAGAACGUCGUGAGACAGUUCGGUCCCUAUCUGCCGUGGGCGCUGGAGAAUUGAGGGGGGCU
rnacentral:rRNA from 1 species